UCCACCGAAAGAUCACCAUAUCAGCCUGAGCAUGAAUGUUGUGACCAGUAACCAAAGGAUGCUUAAACCUCUCUUCACAGUGCCACCACCUGGAAAAGAAGAACCACAAACAUCACAUCACUAAACAGUGGCACGGAUGUGGUUGGCAACGUGACAGUGCAGAAGCCACGUUCCAUUGACCUCUGCCACCAUCUCCAACGUCUGAAAUGCUCCUGGGAUCAGGUCAUACACAUCAGUACGAGGGGGGCUCCAAGUUCGGAAUUUGGCCCGAACCCAGAGUAUUCCCCCCAUAUCCAGUUAAGAGAGGAGGGGUGUAGGAGGGAUGCUGGAAAAACUGGUGUGUGACAGAGUUGAAAUAAGGAGUCAAAUUGUGGGAUUUUCAUCUUCCUCUACCUGGCAUGACAGCUUCAGGUUUAGAAGUAGAGGUUCUGACUCCAUGUGCUUGUAUUGAGUGGCGUCGGUGUAUUCUCUAUAAACUACUUUCUUAUACCUGGAGCCCAGUCUGUUCUUUCCUGUCCCCACAAAUAAACUGCCAGGACUGAGACAAGAAUCUGGUUACCAAAGCCAUUCAAAUGCUGCAACCUCUACAAAAGUUGUAGAACAUACAUCUACCUUUUCUCCUCAGUCGUGUUGAAGUUCUGCAAUUCCCAGGUACGAUCAGUGACUGCAGUGUGUGGGAACAGGCUCAGCGUGUCACGUGUUGUGCCUUGUCUCUGGAACGUGUUGCCUUGGAAGUAAAUACCAUGCAUGUCUAUCUCUGUGCCAAG